UGGGGAAUAUUGGACAAUGGGCGAAAGCCUGAUCCAGCCAUGCCGCGUGUGUGAAGAAGGUCUUCGGAUUGUAAAGCACUUUAAGUUGGGAGGAAGGGCAGUAAGCGAAUACCUUGCUGUUUUGACGUUACCGACAGAAUAAGCACCGGCUAACUCUGUGCCAGCAGCCGCGGUAAUACAGAGGGUGCAAGCGUUAAUCGGAAUUACUGGGCGUAAAGCGCGCGUAGGUGGUUCGUUAAGUUGAAUGGGGAAGCCCCGGGCUCAACCUGGGAACUGCAUCCAAAACUGGCGAGCUAGGGUAGGGCAGAGGGUGGUGGAAUUUCCUGUGUAGCGGUGAAAUGCGUAGAUAUAGGAAGGAACACCAGUGGCGAAGGCGAGCACGUGGGGUCAUACUGACACUGGGGUGCGAAAGCGUGGGGAGCAAACAGG
rnacentral:rRNA from 1 species